UACGGAGGGUGCAAGCGUUGUCCGGAUUUAUUGGGUUUAAAGGGUGCGUAGGCGGCCAUUUAAGUCUGGGGUGAAAGCCCGUUGCUCAACAACGGAACUGCCCUGGAAACUGGAUGGCUUGAGUACAGACGAGGGUGGCGGAAUGGAUGCUGUAGCGGUGAAAUGCAUAGAUAGCAUCCAGAACCCCGAUUGCGAAGGCAGCUGCCUAGACUGUAACUGACGCUGAGGCACGAAAGCGUGGGGAGCAAACAGG
rnacentral:rRNA from 1 species